rnacentral:lncRNA from 1 species
CCCCUCGCUUUGUGCAUGAUAUUGUCGGCUAUAUUAUACUUGUUAGAUUAGACUAAAUGAAGGGAAUUUUUAGGGCACGUCCUAGAGGAAUCUAGUUGUAUUUAAUAGAUAAUGACCCUCUAAAUUUGGCUUUUCCCUUUUGGAAUGAAAGGCCACCUAUUAGGAGGUUUGCAUGUAUCAAUUGACACUUAUUUGAUAGUCUCGCUAACAAGAGAGGUACGAAUGUUUGAUGCAUGGUGC